AGAGUUUGAUCAUGGCUCAGAUUGAACGCUGGCGGUAGGCUUAACACAUGCAAGUCGUGCGAGAAAGUAUCUUCGGAUAUGAGUAGAGCGGCGGACGGGUGAGUAACGCGUAGGAAUCUACCUAGUAGAAGGGGAUAGCCCGGGGAAACUCGGAUUAAUACCGUAUACCUCCUUCGGGAGAAAGAAGGCCUCUCUUUGAUGCUUUCGCUAUUAGAUGAGCCUGCGUAAGAUUAGCUUGUUGGUGAGGUAAAGGCUCACCAAGGCAACGAUCUUUAGCUGGUCUGAGAGGACGAUCAGCCACAUUGGGACUGAGACACGGCCCAGACUCCUACGGGAGGCAGCAGUGGGGAAUAUUGGACAAUGGGCGCAAGCCUGAUCCAGCCAUACCGCGUGUGUGAAGAAGGCCUUCGGGUUGUAAAGCACUUUAAGCAGGGAGAAAAAGUUAUAAGUUAAUACCUUAUAACCGUGAUGUUACCUGCAGAAUAAGCACCGGCUAAUUCCGUGCCAGCAGCCGCGGUAAUACGGAAGGUGCAAGCGUUAAUCGGAAUUACUGGGCGUAAAGCGCGCGUAGGUGGUUUGUUAAGUUGGAUGUGAAAGCCCUGGGCUCAACCUAGGAACUGCAUCCAAAACUAACUCACUAGAGUACGAUAGAGGGAGGUAGAAUUCAUAGUGUAGCGGUGGAAUGCGUAGAUAUUAUGAAG
rnacentral:rRNA from 1 species